GGCCUGAUAAUUGGGUUAACACUAACAUUGCAAUAUUAGAAUUUUAUCCAAUUGUUUUGAGCUUGCAUUUGUGGGGUGCAGAUAUGAGUAACCCCUCAAUUAUAUUUUAUACUGACAACAAAGCUUUAGUUCAUGUCAUUAACAAACAGUCAUGCAAGGACAAAAUUUUAAUGGUCUUUGUCCGUAGACUUGUUUUGCUUUGUUUACAAUUUAAUAUCAUGUUUGAGGCAAAACAUGUACCGGGUGUUAGGAAUAAUUUAGCGGAUGCUCUGUCUCGCUUACAGGUGCAGAGAUUUCAACAAUUGGCUCCACCAACUAUGGACCAUUCACCAACCGUCAUACCUGUCCAUCUGCAGCCAGAGAAUUGGUCCCUACAGUAGCUAGUCUAGUGCUAGCUAGCCUUCAACCUUCUUCUCGACCAACCUAUCGUAGGGCAUGGAAGCUAUUUGAGCAAUUCCACGGGGUGUUGUUUCAGGUUUUUUCAAUAUCAUUUCCAAUUAAACCAGCUGUGUUGGCUUUGUUUGUCGCGCACCUGUACAAUAAACGGUACGCUUCAUCUACAGUUAACACCUACGUGUCCGCAUUAGGUUAUUUGCACAAAUAAUCGGGUUAUGCAGAUCCUACUAAGGUUUUUUACAUUAAGCAGAUGUUAAAAGGUUACCUCAAGUUAGGGUGUCGCUUAGACACCAGGUUGCCCAUCACACUGCCUUUACUUCACAGGAUAAUUGCUAUUACUCAUCAAUUUUCUAUAUCACAAUAUGAGAUUACACUUUUUCGAGCAAUGUGCUCUACUGCAUUCCAUGCAUUUUUGCGGGUUGGUGAAAUGACAGCUACUCAGAAUAAGGGAGUUCAAUCAAACUUAGAUCUGACCCAGCUGACUAAGAUGGUAGAUAGUUCGGGCAAAGUUGUGUCUAUAAAAAUCACUUUUUUGAAUUUCAAACACAAUUACAACCAGCGCCCGUUCUCCGUUAUUGUUAAGAAGCAAUUACAAUUUUGUCCUGUAUCUAUCCUUCUAGCUUAUUUAAGCAACAGAGGUUUACAACGAGGUUUUUUGUUUGUUUUGUCAAAUGGAAAUCCUGUUCCUCGUAACUAUUUCGCAAAACAACUGGCAUUAGCUCUUAAAUUAUGCAAUUUAAGCCCUAAUGUUUAUAAGCGUCACAGUUUUCGGAUAGGGGCUGCUUCUCAUGCUGCAGAUCAGGGUAUGUCGGAUGCUCAAAUACGUGCUCUCUGUAGGUGGAAGUCCAAUGCAUUUCUGAAAUAUAUCCGACUUCCUUCCCUUUCUUCUUGAAUUUGUUUAUUUAUAAGGAUGAGUGGAAAACUGAUUAGCAAGGGCAGCAGUUUCUUACUGGUCCUCUACGGAAUGCUAUGUAAGCAUUGUUUAUAGCGUUUAUUAACUAUACAAAUUAAUAUUACUAUAAUUAUAUAGCGAACAUUGGUUGGACUGAUUAGCAAGGGCAGCAAUCUUGCCAAUGUUUGUUGUCUCAUUAUAAUAGUAUUCAAUUAAUAGUUUAAUAUAACAUAGCGAACAUUUGUUGGACUGAUUGGCAAGAGCAGCAGGCCGACGAGUGUUUUUGUUGUUUAUUGAUAUUAAUGUUUAUGGUUCAUUGCAAUAUUUAUCAGACAAGGAUGUGUAUUUUUCUUUGGGUGGGGCAGCAUCAUUUGCAUGACGCUCUUGGCGUUUUUGUGCCCUUCACCUUUACUGGGCAAGACUAUAUUAUAUAUAAUUUAAAUCAAAUACUUGUUAUUGAAAAAUUUUAUAAUUAAUAAAGCGGCUUUGGGGGUUUCCCCAAAUGCCAUUUUACUCCAAAUGACUAUUGCGUGAUUCAAUUUGGUGCCCAGUAAACCGAGCUCAGAAAAGUUCACAUCCUUAAUUCUGUACACGGGAGAAAAAGAAAAUCAUCAAUGAAAUAUUUGAAGGCAAAUAGAGUUUUUAUGAGUUUCUUGGUUGAAAAUUUAAUCCAAGUUGAUCACACGGAAGUUGCCGAUGUGAAGGAAGAAGCAAGGGGGAUUGGUGCGAGCCUCGGUCUGGCGUAGAACGCCGACAUAAAACCAAGGCUACCACGUGAGAUCGGCCUCAUUUGCCGCUUGACUUCGCCGAUAACAGAAGAGAAGUUUCCCACCAUCCCUCCCUUACUGCUUUCUUUAUGUUUAGCUAUAUUGUUGUAUGCAUAAUUUUUUGUUGGCGUUUUUGUGCCCUUUACUGGGCAAGACUAUAUUAUAUAUAAUUUAAAUCAAAUACUUGUUAUUGAAAAAUUUUAUUAUUAAUAAAGCGGCUUUGGGGGUUUCCCCAAAUGCCAUUUUACUCCAAAUGACUAUUGUGUGAUUCAAUUUCGUGCCCAGUAAACCGAGCUCAGAAAAGUUCACAUCCUUAAUUCUGUACACGGG
rnacentral:lncRNA from 1 species